AGCGAACGCUGGCGGCGUGCUUAACACAUGCAAGUCGAGCGAAGGUGUUUCAAGGGUAACCUUGAGAUACACUUAGCGGCGGACGGGUGAGUAAUACGUGGAUAACUUACCUCUAGGCCUGGGAUAACCCCGGGAACUGGGGCUAAUACCUGAUAAGACCACAUUGUCUACGGACAAAGGGUAAAAGGUGGCUGUGCAAACAGCUAUCGCCAAAAGAUAGGUUCACGUCCCAUCAGGCAGUUGGUGAGGUAAUGGCUCACCAAACCAAAGACGGGUAGCCGGCCUUGGCGGGUGAACGGCCACACGGGGACUGAGACACGG
rnacentral:rRNA from 1 species